AUUCGUGCUAAGGUAGCAUAAUCAUUUGUCUUUUAAAUAAAGACUAGAACAAAAGAUUUAACAUUUAAAUUUAUUUAUUAAUUUUUAUAAUUAAUUUUAUUCUAUAUGUAAAAAAACAUAUAUUUAAGAGAAAGACGACAAGACCCUAUUGAACUUAACUUUAGUUAAACUGGGGCAGUAAAUUAAUUAUUAUUUUAAUAAAUAUAAGUAACUAAACAUCUAAUAAUAUUACAUAAUUCAGUUACCAUAGGGAUAACAGCGCAAUUUUAUUUUAAAGCUCUUAUUUUAAAUAAAGUUUACGACCUCGAUGUUGAAUUAAUAACCUAAUUAAAGCAAAUUUUAAUAAAAAGGAAGUCUGUUCGACUUUUAAAAAAUUACAUGAUUUGAGUUCAGACCGGUAUAAGCCAGGUCGGUUUCUAUCUUCUUAAAAAAUCUUUACAGUACGAAAGGACCUAAAAAUAUAAUUAAAUUAAUUUAUUAGCAAAUAAAUGCAUUAGAAUUAGAAUCUAAUAAAACUAAA
rnacentral:rRNA from 1 species